rnacentral:rRNA from 1 species
GACAGAGGGUGCAAACGUUGUUCGGAAUCACUGGGCGUAAAGCGCGUGUAGGCGGCUACGUAAGUCGGACGUGAAAUCCCACGGCUCAACUGUGGAAGUGCGCUCGAAACUGUGUAGCUUGAGUCUUGGAGAGGAAGGCGGAAUACUUGGUGUAGAGGUGAAAUUCGUAGAUAUCAGGUAGAACACCAGUGGCGAAGGCGGCCUUCUGGACAAUGACUGACGCUGAGACGCGAAAGCGUGGGGAG